UACGGGGGGGGCAAACGUUGUUCGGAAUUACUGGGCGUAAAGCGCGUGUAGGCGGCUAAGUAAGUCGGGCGUGAAAUCCCACGGCUCAACGUGAAGUGCACUCGAAACUGCAUAGCUAGAGUCCUGGAGAGGAAGGUGGAAUGCUUGGUGUAGAGGUGAAAUUCGUAGAUAUCAAGCGGAACACCGGUGGCGAAGGCGGCCUUCUGGACAGUGACUGGACGCUGAGACGGCGAAAAGCGUGGGGAGCAAACA
rnacentral:rRNA from 1 species